rnacentral:sRNA from 1 species
UAGCAUGUAACCAUAAGGUGUUGGGCU